ACUGGUGAUUAUGGCAUGAAACAGUCAACCUACUAAUUGUACUUCACACAAAUGAUGGUUAGAAAAAUAAUCAAUGCCCUGCAUUACUAGACAUGACUUAUUCAACAAAUUCAAAGAUAACAUAGCCAAAGCUUGGCCCAGAGACCUAAUGGUGUCAUGAAUACGACUGAUAAUUAUCUUUCAACAUGUUCUCGUGCUGUAGAACGUGCACUUCGAUAAGUACUACUUCCGAAGGAACGCAAUGGCACGUAGGCGGCGACGUAGUGCACACGUGCUCGGAAGUAAGCAAGGAAAACGUAAUGUUGUUCUCUGGUGAAUUGUUUGUUUGGUGAUAGCACUGGCUUCGUAAUCGAAAUUAUAUUUUGGGAGUACUUGUCAUGGAAACAUGUUUGUGCUGUUCGCUCAUCUAACAAGACGAACCGUUUGCAAGUGAAGUGCGGGAGCGUCAAGAUAGAGGGGUGCAGGUGCACGUUAGCAAGCUACUGCAGUAUAUAACUAUGACCUAGACACAUUUUGUAGUGGUCAUGAAUGAAUAACCACAAAUUUUUAUUUUGAGGAGACGAGUAGGCCUACCUGACACUAACAGUGUAUGUCAGCAACAUGGCAUUCACCAGCCUUUUUUCAAGUCUUCCAAACAAAGAAUUUGACACGGCGCCUUGUGAGCCGAGAGAGAGAUUUCAAAGGGAUGAAAGGCAACUGGAACCAGUUAAACUGGAGGUGAACGAAAGGGAUGCCCAGUCCAGAAAGUGGCCAUUGCAAAGGAGCAGUGUGGUCAGGCCAAGAAAAGUAAGCUCCGUAAAUGCCCAUCACAAUCUUAUAAAGACUUUGACUCUGUGGCCCGAGACUACAACAUGGUGAAGUGUGAUUUCGAGCAACCAGGCUUUGACUCCAGUAGAGACCUGGACUUCUACAGUGAUAGCAAGGAGGGUGCAUCCCCAGGUCAUGCUACAGAGAAGGAUCCUGAUCAGAUCAAGGAUGUUCAAGGUGUAAACGAGAAGAAAGGACGGGAGCAGAAGAAGCAGCGACGGAAGCCCCAGCAGCAGAGACUUGACAACCAGGCCAGAGGCAGAGGGGGAAACUCUGCCAGGAGGGGUGGGGAUUUUACCGGAAUGGGUGGACGUGGAACUAACCAGCCCAGAGACUUCUCCAACAGGGGCGGCGGUGGUUCCAACAGGGGCGGAGAGUGGAGCAAUAGAGGCCAGGGCUGUGACAAGAGGGGCGGUUUUCUCAGAAGAGGUGAUUGGUCAAAGCGAGGCACUGACCGGUCACUUAGAGGUGGACGACAGUUCCCAAAUAAUGAAACUUUGACUGGAAAGGGGAAGAAGAACAUGACAAAGGAAUUCAAAGAUCAGAAUGCUUUGGAGAUUGACGGAAGGUUAAUCUGUCGACAUUUCCUCAGGGGAAAGUGCAUAAAUGGUGAUGACUGCCAGCUAGAACAUGCUCUGGAUGUCAACUACUCGAUCAACGAAGUGUGUACAUUCUACGUCCAGGGAUCCUGUUCGAAAGGAGAGAGCUGCAUGUACAUGCACAAGAGUUUCCCCUGCAAGUUCUUCCAUACUUAUGAGAAGUGCUACCAAGGAGACCAGUGCAGGUUUUCCCAUGAACCCCUGACUGAGCUUACCAAACAGCUACUGGAGGCAGCCAAACUUUUACAACAGCUCAUGCCCCUCUGAGCCACAUGCUGAGGAAAGUACCACUGUGUAUCAGAAGGAAGUGUCAGCUGAGGUCGUGGAGAAGGAAAUUGCCCCUCCUACAGCGUCCGUUUGGUUUCCUGAUCCUCCCCCAAACUCUGGCUUUAAGGAACCUGUUUCUUAUUCAGUUGAGGCUGUGCUUGGGUCCCAUAGGCCCCUGGAUGAACCCUUCCAUAGCUUCUUUGCAGCCUCUAUCAGCCAGACCUCACAGACCAACCAGAUCCCCCCACAACUACAUUAGUUCCUCCAGACUCUAGCCACCCUCGUGAUCCACCCCUAAACUCUACAUGCAGCAAGAGAAAUGUUCCUUAUUCAGUCGAAGCUGUGCUUGGAUUCCAGAAGCCUGAAGAAAAACCCUUCACACUCCCCACACAGAUCCAAUCAGAUCCCCCCAGGACUACAUUCGUUUCUCCAGACCCAAUUAGUUUGUUUGAUCCUUUGAUAAGAGGCAGGCUUCUUAUUCAGUUGAGGCUUUCUCUACGGCCCAGAAGCCAGUGAAAAAACCCUUUUGCAGUCUCUUUGCAGGGAUGAUCAGCCAGACCUCCACUACACCUCUCAUACAGAACUCUGCUAAUUCGCCCAUCAACACCCCAGGAUGUAAGGGACUAGCUUCUUAUUCAGUUAAGGCUGUUCUAAAGUCCCACAAGCCUGUGGAUAACCCCGUCCGCAGCCUCGUUGCAGGCCCCAUCACCCAGUUCUCUCGCCAUCCUGAUAUACAGACCCAACCAGAUCGUCCUAGCACUACAUUAAAUCCUCCAGACUCCAUUCGGCCCCCUGAUCCUCCUCCAGUCUAUAAGAGGCCGGCUUACUAUUCAGCUAAAGCUGUGCUUGGAUCUCCUAAACCUUUGAAACCAUCCUUCAGCAGCCUCUUUGCAGGCCCCAUCAGCCAGACAUCUCCCCAACCUCCCACACAGACCCAACCAGAUUCCCCUAGCGCUACAUUUGGUCCUUCAGAUUCUGCGCCUCCUGCAGGCUGUAAAAGGCCGGCUUCGUAUUAUGUUACGGCUGUGCUUGAGCCCAAGAAGCCUGUGGAAAACCCCUUCUGCAGCCUUUUUGCAGGAAUCAUCAGCCAGACCACUCUCGACUCUCCCUCACACUCCCAAAACUCCCCAGGUUGUAAGGCGCUUCUAACAAGCCCAUGGAAAAACCCUUCCUUAGUCUCUUUGCAGGCCCCAUCAGCCAGACAACCCUCUCAGACAGAUGCAACAAAAUCCCCCCCAGAACUGCAAUUGGUCCCUCAGACCCCAAUUUGUCUUCUGAGCCUCUCCCAGUCUGCAAGAGACGGACAUUCUCAGUUGAGGCUGUCAGUGAGUCCCAGAAGUCCAUGGAAAAACCAUUCCAUAGCCUCUUUGCCGGCCCCCUCACACAGAUCCCCACUUCCGGCCAUCCAUCACAGACCCAACCAGAUCUCCCUAGAAAUUUCACUGGUUGUAAUAGACCAGCUUCUGAUUCAGUUGAGGCUAUGCUUGAGACUCAGAAGCCAGUGGGGGAAACCCUUUCGCAGCCUCUUUGAAGGCCCCAUCAGCCAGACAACCCUCCCUGACCCUCAAACACAGACCUGGCCUUAUCCCCCAAUAGUUGAGCCUAAACCGGAGGUGCCAGACCCAACACCGCUCACCGAGCCAUCCACAACCCAUUCUGUUCUGAGGACCCUCUUCCUACGCCUGAGCCCAUGCCGCCAUGAGGGGGAGCAGGCGAUCAGUAACAGCUGCAAAGAUCCAGGAGGUGAUGGCCUGUGUUCCAGUGAAGACAAAAUCACCAGAGGAUCUACUUCCACAGGACAGCAGCGGCAGAGCCAGGAGGUGGUUGAGGAGCCGGAGAGUGAGCGUGAGGAGCCGGAGAGUGAGCGUGAGGAGCCGGAGAGUGAGCGUGAGGAGCCGGAGAGUGAGCGUGAGGAGUGCCUUCUGAGGGAUGAGCUGUUGGUGAUUCCAUUAGUGCCUUACGUGCCACUUGGUGACCCUUGCCAGGCUGAUAUCACCCUACCACGGUCCACCUUCGCCCGGGACGUGGUGUGGUCCUUUGAAGACCUUGCCCCUCUUCCUCCCCCCUCACAACUAGUGAUUAGUAACAACUAACCGUUGCCUUCUUCCUCCACUGCUGCCGACUACAUUUCCUCUUAUUUGAUGAGUGAACAAUAGAAUGUUAUUACACUCAACUGAUUCUUAUUCUCAUGUGGAAAAUGUAAUUAUUUAAACAAAUUCUGCACCAGUUCUGCUCUGCAUGUAGUGCUUCCCUUUUCUUAUAGUAAGGUACAGUGCUGCGAAAAAGUGAUGCAUCUGGUGGACAGAAGGCAUAAAGUAAACUCUUUGCAUUCAGGCGGAAGUCAUUAAUUGUCAAAGGAGCAGUCCGCAAUGCUAUGUUGGAGCCGCACUAGGCUGCGGUGCGUUCUGUGUACCACGUGCGGUCAAUAUUUAACUCCUGUGUUGGUUUACCGUGCAGCGGUACAAAUGGAAGUACACACAGACUCCGAAUAGCUAGUUGAAAAGCAAAGCGUAUGCAUCUGGUGGUCAUUAGGCUUCUAAGGCUGAACCAGCAGAGUUGCUGUAUUGUAUGCACUUUAGAAUGUUUUAAUUACAGUAUAUGGCCCCCAUCACUUUAUCACAUUUAAGUCUCACAGCCUUGGAUUUUGAUGCAUUUGAUUGGGAACUUUUAUUUGUGAGUCACAUUAUUCGGAGCCCCCCCCCCACACACACACACACACACAAGAAAAUGGUCAACAAUAAAAAUAAAUGACAGUUCAUUUUUAUGUAUUCAUCCCUAGGUCAAUACUUGGUUGAACCACCUCUGGCAGCUAUUACAGCCAGUAGUAUUUUCAACUCUAACUUUGCACACUGUAAUAAAGCAGUAUUUUCCCAUU